rnacentral:rRNA from 1 species
UACGAAGGGUGCAAGCGUUACUCGGAAUUACUGGGCGUAAAGCGUGCGUAGGUGGUUUGUUAAGUCUGAUGUGAAAGCCCUGGGUUCAACCUGGGAAUUGCAUUGGAUACUGGCAAGCUAGAGUGUGUCAGAGGAUGGUGGAAUUUCCGGUGUAGCGGUGAAAUGCGUAGAGAUCGGAAGGAACAUCAGUGGCGAAGGCGGCCAUCUGGGACAACACUGACGCUGAAGCACGAAAGCGUGGGGAGCAAACAGG